rnacentral:rRNA from 1 species
CCCGCUCAGAACUUAAAGGAAUUGACGGGGCCCGCACAAGCGGAGGAGCAUGUGGUUUAAUUCGAUGAUACGCGAGGAACCUUACCUGGGCUCGAACGUAAGAUGACUGUAGGUGAAAGCUUACAUCUCUUCGGAGCAUUUUACGAGGUGCUGCAUGGUUGUCGUCAGCUCGUGCCGUGAGGUGUCGGGUUAAGUCCCAUAACGAGCGCAACCCUACCUUUAGUUGCCAUCAGGUAAUGCUGGGGACUCUAAAGGAACUGCCUACGCAAGUAGUGAGGAAGGCGGGGAUGACGUCAAAUCAGCACGGCCCUUACGUCCAGGGCUACACACGUGCUACAAUGGCCGAUACAGAGGGCAGCUACCUGGUGACAGGAUGCAAAUCUCCAAAGUCGGUCUCAGUUCGGAUCGGAGUCUGCAACCCGACUCCGUGAAGUUGGAUUCGCUAGUAAUCGCGCAUCAGCCAUGGCGCGGUGAAUACGUUCCCGGGCCUU